CGGAGAUGAAGGACAGGUGAGAAAAAGCAAAACUAUUGAUUUAUUCUAAUUCCACAAACAUGUGGAUCAAAUUGAUCAAGAAACAAUAUUGAAAUUAUAUCUGAGAGGAAAUUUGAUGAGAAUUAUAUUUCAUGACAGUUUGUUUUGUUUUUGUUUUAUUAAAUCCCAAUUGUUGUUCUUAUCCACCCAAUCCACACACAUCCAUGAUGAAAACCCGAAUCUGAAAUGCAUUGCCUGGUACAACUGGAGUAAUCACACCAUAAAUCAUGCCGUUGAACACCACUGCUGAACCAACGUCACCCUGUAGAAAAACAUUACAUCAAUAUAUUUA